rnacentral:rRNA from 1 species
UACGAAGGGGGCUAGCGUUGUUCGGAUUUACUGGGCGUAAAGCGCACGUAGGCGGUUUGUUAAGUCAGGGGUGAAAUCCCGGAGCUCAACUCCGGAACUGCCUUUGAUACUGGCAAGCUAGAGUCCGGAAGAGGUAAGUGGAACUCCUAGUGUAGAGGUGGAAUUCGUAGAUAUUAGGAAGAACACCAGUGGCGAAGGUGGCUUACUGGUCCGGAACUGACGCUGAGGUGCGAAAGCGUGGGGAGCAAACAGG